GCACUGCUGAUGAGUCCCAAACAGGACUGAACAGCUGUCCAGUGC
rnacentral:hammerhead_ribozyme from 1 species